UAAAAAAAAAAAAAAAAGAAAACAAGGAUAAGAUAUUGAUAUAGUAUUGGAAGAUACAUUUUAGAAAUUAGAUUCCAUGUAAAAUUAGGAGGUUUAGAUUUCUAUUAUUUAGGAAUAUUCAAAAAGUUAUAUUAGGUUUAGUAUUUUCCUUGUUGGUAUUGGUUUAGUUUUUCUUAUUUUGGGAUUCCUAAUACUAGUAGUAAUGCUGUAUUGGGAGGAGGAUAAAAAUAGGAUACUCAGAGAUUAUAUUCAAUGUAAAAUUUGGAAGUUUAUUAGUUUUAUUAUUUAAUAAUUCUAUCAUAAUUAGGAUUAGUAUUCCAUUUAGGAAGUACUCAUUAUAUUUAGGAAGUUUCUCUUAUUUAGUUUUCCUAAAUUGAUUUGAAUUAGGGUUUCCUAAUCCUAAUUUGAUUACGGUUGUAAGUUCUAUAAAUAGGGCUAGUUUUUUAUUAUUCAGUAACUUUAGACUUUGAUAUGAUAAUUAUUUAAGCAUAAUACAAAUGAGAAUUAGUUCUUUUUUUCUUCAGGAUUUGUUCCUUUCUUUGAGUGUUCUUUUCCCUUUGAGUGUUCUUGGUUCUACAUCAAUAAGUGCUCCCCACCACCCCACCACUGUAGUUGUAGCAUUUAAAAAUCCACAACACAUGGAAGAGAAGUGAUGAGGGGUCAUCCCCUUAAGAAGAUUAAGAAAUGGUACCGCACUCUAGUAAGAGCCAUUAGAGAUAACCAAAGCCUGACAACUUGAUUAGCUUUGAGAAUGCAAAUAUUGAACAAGUAUAAAACAAAGAACACAAUAUUUCAUGUGGUUCACCCCUUGUAAGGCUAUGUUUAUGAGGCCAAAGACAAUAAUUCACUAAAAUAUGUAUUACAAAUGCAACAUAUUAUUCACAACUAACACGCACCACAAAAGAGAUAAUGAACCAUGCAGGGUUGUUAAAGGCGCUCGAGGCGCCCUGGUGAGGCACCAGGCGAGGUGAGGCGCCACUCUCACACCUCGCCUGGCACCGCCUGGUUCCCUUCAAAGAGGCAAGCGCCUCUGAGCAGAGAGGCAAGAGGCGAGAGGCGAGUGGCUCCCUGAAGCGACGCCCCUGUAAUGCAACGGUAAUUUUUUUUUUUAAUUAUUUAAAGCCAAAUAAAAGAAAAUUCCCUAAGCCACCUACCUCAGUCCUCAAAAGAAAGGAAGAUCGGCACCCUCAAAUCUCAACUGUGGCACUCAGCAGCACUUUCAGGUAUAUCUCUCUCUCUCUCUC
rnacentral:misc_RNA from 1 species